rnacentral:tRNA from 1 species
UCCCUGGUGGCUUAGACGGUAAAGCAUCUGCCUGCAAUGCGGGAGACCCGGGUUCGAUCCCUGGGUCGGGAA